rnacentral:rRNA from 1 species
UCGAUUUGGAGUUUGUUGCCUAGAGUGAUGGGCUCCGAAGCUAACGCGAUAAAUCGACCGCCUGGGGAGUACGGCCGCAAGGUUAAAACUCAAAUGAAUUGACGGGGGCCCGCACAAGCGGUGGAGCAUGUGGUUUAAUUCGAUGCAACGCGAAGAACCUUACCUGGUCUUGACAUCCACAGAAUCUUGCAGAGAUGCGAGAGUGCCUUCGGGAACUGUGAGACAGGUGCUGCAUGGCUGUCGUCAGCUCGUGUUGUGAAAUGUUGGGUUAAGUCCCGCAACGAGCGCAACCCUUAUCCUUUGUUGCCAGCGAUUAGGUCGGGAACUCAAAGGAGACUGCCGUUGAUAAAGCGGAGGAAGGUGGGGACGACGUCAAGUCAUCAUGGCCCUUACGACCAGGGCUACACACGUGCUACAAUGGCGUAUACAAAGGGAGGCGACCUCGCGAGAGCAAGCGGACCUCAUAAAGUACGUCUAAGUCCGGAUUGGAGUCUGCAACUCGACUCCAUGAAGUCGGAAUCGCUAGUAAUCGUGAAUCAGAAUGUCACGGUGAAUACGUUCCCGGGCCU